rnacentral:tRNA from 3 species
GUCUCUGUGGCGCAAUCGGUUAGCGCGUUCGGCUGUUGACUGAAAGGUUGGUGGUUCAAGCCCACCCAGGGACG